UGCUGGUGUUCAUAGAUCAUGGAGAUUCUUGGCCAAUAGGGUACUUACCUAAGCAUAAUCUCUCAAAUUUACAGGAAGAGAAGGAAAACACGUCAAAACUGUCGUAACUACAGCAGUUUUCUGCUUUUGAAUUUUUCUCCCUGUUCAGAUACCUUUCUGGCAUAUGUAGCUGAAAAGAAAAAUCACAGCUCCCCAAAUAUUAUGCAAUUUGUAUUUCUAGAACUGAUAAAGCCUUUUCAGAACCUUGUACCCAGUGGAUUUUUCCCUAAAUGAAAAGUUUCGACAGAACAAAUAGGUAAAAUGUGUUAAGACUCUAACUGUCAGUUGACAGCUUUUGAAAACUCAGAGGUUUUAAAAAACAAAGUACGGAGGGGUGGGGGGGGUUAGUAAUCAGAUCCCCCCCCAAUGAGCACUAAUCUAGGAAAGACACCAAAAUGUUUGUCUUUUUUCUUAAAUAACAUCAGACUUCAGUUCUGUGGAAAAACAAGUGCAAGUUGAAUAGAGAUCCAGGCGCAUGUAUCAGAAACACUGGCUGCAUCGAAGCCUGGUAUCAUGUUAUUGUGUCAGCAACGCUUAAGUGUGGCUUUAAAGGUCAGAAGGAAAUCUCGCUAUUUGUUAAUGCGGGGUUUUUUAAACUCGACAUGUUGUUGUGAAAGUAAAGUGCUUUGCUGGAAAACAAGCAGGUAUGAACAAGAGACAAUUUAGGUGCAAUUCAGCUCCGAAAGAUGCAAUUUCAUUUUCUGUUCAGGUAGUAAAGUCACGUAUUAGGAAUCUUCAUGAAGAAAAAGUAGAGUUUUUAAGAGUUAUGUCUUCUAACCUUUGCCUUUACUAAAUUUGUUUUGCGUUGCACAGUAAAUUAAGUGUACUAGGAUAACAAAGAGAGCCCUCACUUUGUAGUUUUGUGUGUAUGUUUUUUCUGCUCAAGCAGGAAAUAGAUUUGUGGCUAGAGUUUUACUGCAUUUAGUAGGCACGUUCUGACCAAGCUUUUUGAAAAUGUCUUCUGAAAGAUAUUGCAAUUACAACAAUGAAGAAUUCAGAGGGCUGCAACUCAUCUGUCUGUGCCUGCUUUGGAAUGCUUUAUCUUUAAAUCUUAUUUUUUUUCCUGCUGUUCCUCAAUAUUUAUUUUUUUGAAAAACAUGAUUUUUUUUUUUUCAUAUCUCAGUGGCCAUGAAAGCUCUCUAUAUUUACUGCAAGUAAAUAUAGUCAAUAUUUAUUUGUACAGUCAGUACUAAGUCAAAUCUUAAUUUGAUUUUUUGGCUUCUGCUUUUUCCUUCUGAAGGCUACUUUGCUAAAGAAUAAUAAAAUCCUUAUAGAAAGAUUUGACACAAAAUACCAUAGAGAAAGACAUUGAACUUAAUCUCAUGAUUCCAGUUAAAUGAUCAAUACAAUAGGUAUUAAAUACCUCUGCAACAUGUAGAGGUCAGUGUUCAAUAACUGUGGGUGCCUUCUGCAUCACCCUAGGACAGUGAUUUUCACAGAAGCAGUCUACCUUUAGGUCUGAGGGACAGACCACACAAGGGGGCAGGAGCCUAGAAGGGAAAUUACUUACUUCCCAAAUCCUCCACUCGGACAAAUGGUCAGAUAAGCAUGAGGACCUGAAACUGCAGCAGCUAUGGAAAGCAUUAUAAAAAACAAAUAGAUAAGGCCUUCCUUAGGGAAAUAGAUCAUGGCAAUGGGAUUUGACUGAGAUGCUGCUUCUCUGUGAUACUGCUCUAAAAGCAUUAGAGAGGUGGCCAGUAAUUUUAACCUACUGGUUCCAGCCAAGUUUAGUUCCAGAGAGACUGAAAAUCGCUGCUGCGCAUGGGUAUUUUGCGGCUGUGGACUGGUUCUUGAUAAACAGUAGCUUCAAAACACAGCCUGGUCUUUGGUGGGCAGACUUGGCAGGAAAACUCUGUGAAAGGCUGAUACUAAUACAGCCAGUGGCUUUAUUUCCUCUGUUGCUCAAGAACAGGAUAAAAAUAAGAACUGCAAAUUGUGCAGUAUGGUUUAGGAUCACUCUGGAUCUUUGUAUUUCACGUGUGUUUCUGUCGAACAGUCAUUUGGCUGUCUGACCUUGGGGGAGCCUCAAUCUGCCAAAUCCCAGUCUGCAAUGAACCUUUCAAAGCAUGCAGUAACAGCCAGAAUUAGAAUCGGCAGAGAACAGGACAGAUGAAAACAACAACUUGAAAUACAACUAAGUGAGACUUCAACAUUCUAGUCUACUUUUCUGCCCUGAAGCAGAGUAAAUGAGGUAUAUUUAGUCCUGAUGGAUAUUUGUCUAAUUUUGCAAACCUCUGAUAAAAGUCAUGCUGUUAAACUAUGUAACCUGCUCAAAGCUUACCUAUUCUGACAGUCACAGCUUUUCCUAAUAAAAGUAACCUUUCUUU
ensembl:lncRNA